GUUUACGAUUUAUUUUUUUUUACAAAAGAGUUCAUUUGCCAAUAUUAAUAAUAGUAAUUUAUAAUUUUUUACUGCUAAAUGAAAAAAAAAGUAUAGAAAUUAGCUCACGCUACCUAUCCAUAGACGCAUAAUACAUAAUCACAACCAUUUUCAUUACCUACUUCUACAACUAACCAACAUAUUAUGUAUGUGUUGCAGGUAUUCAGUGCUUCUCCCUGCGUCGAGCUACUUUCGAGUGUGAUCCGCUUGGAGAACGCCUGUCUGCCCUCUGGAGUUCCGUGUAGUUCUGUCGCGUUUCCGGUUCCUGCGACCAGCGUGUGCUGCACGACGUUCCAGCCCUCCUUGUUGUGCGUGCGUGCAGUGCACCCAGAGCCGUUCCUGAUUUCGUCUGACUCCAUCAACAUGAAGAGGACUUCGUCUGGGGUUCCCGCGGCUGCCGGCCAGCCCUCGACCUCGGGGACCAGCCAGCUUGCAACAUCUCAGGUAUGUGCACCGUCAUCAGGGAAUGGGUGUGCAUACUGUGGCAAGUUUUUUACUGCUAGCUGUAGUGCUAGACGGCAUGAGCGUGCAUGCAAGGCGAAUCCCGACUGUAAUACCGCAAGCCAAUGCCAUAUCUGCGGUAUGACAAUAAGCCUCAAAGACAGUUUGACCCGCCACAUUCGAACAUGUGAGGGCACCGUCGAGCACAGCUCAGGCUCGAGGUGCAUUUA